UACGUAGGGUGGAAGCGUUAAUCGGAAUUACUGGGCGUAAAGCGUGCGCAGGCGGUUUUGUAAGUCUGACGUGAAAUCCCCGGGCUCAACCUGGGAAUUGCGUUGGAGACUGCAAGGCUAGAAUCUGGCAGAGGGGGGUAGAAUUCCACGUGUAGCAGUGAAAUGCGUAGAGAUGUGGAGGAACACCGAUGGCGAAGGCAGCCCCCUGGGUCAAGAUUGACGCUCAUGCACGAAAGCGUGGGGAGCAAACAGG
rnacentral:rRNA from 1 species